rnacentral:rRNA from 1 species
GACGAACGCUGGCGGCGUGCUUAACACAUGCAAGUCGAGCGGUAAGGCCCUUCGGGGUACACGAGUGGCGAACGGGUGAGUAACACGUGGGUGAUCUGCCCUGCACUUCGGGAUAAGCCUGGGAAACUGGGUCUAAUACCGGAUAGGACCACUGCCUGCAUGGGUGGUGGUGGAAAGCUUUUGCGGUGUGGGAUGGGCCCGCGGCCUAUUAACUUGUUGGUGGGGUGAUGGCCUACCAAGGCGACGACGGGUAGCCGGCCUGAGAGGGUGACCGGCCACACUGGGACUGAGAUACUGCCCAGACUCCUACGGGAGGCAGCAGUGGGGAAUAUUGCACAAUGGGCGCAAGCCUGAUGCAGCGACGCCGCGUGAGGGAUGACGGCCUUCGGGUUGUAAACCUCUUUCAGCACCGACGAAGCGCAAGUGACGGUAGGUGCAGAAGAAGGACCGGCCAACUACGUGCCAGCCGCCGCGGUAA